UGGCAGAGCUUCUCCUCUGACAUCCGCACCUCUGAGCAUACUACAUCUCAGGCAUACAUUGAUCACGGAUCCAUGAUAUUCAAAUAUUAUGGUGAUUGGGGACAAUGUUUUUCAUGCCAUGAAGAACUCGAUGCCAAAUGCAAGUUUGCUAAAAUCAUCAUCAUGAGAUGAAGCUCUGACGUUUAAUAGACUAUUCCAGUGGUUACUAAGGAGCAGCCAUUGCAGAAAGAAGGUACAAGACAACAAAUCUCUGAACAUUAUGCAGUGGAAGAGGCUGCAAAAUUGCUUAACAAGUUUUGG